rnacentral:rRNA from 1 species
UACUGACGCUGAUGAACGAAAGCGUAGGUAGCCAACAGGAUUAGAUACCCUGGUAGUCUACGCUGUAAACGAUGGUUACUAGCUGUUCGUCACGCCUUAGGCGAGAUGAGUGGUUAAGCGAAAGUGAUAAGUAACCCACCUGGGGAGUACGUUUGCAAGAAUGAAACUCAAAGGAAUUGACGGGGGCCCGCACAAGCGGUGGAGCAUGUGGUUUAAUUCGAUGAUACGCGAGGAACCUUACCAAGGCUUAAAUGCAUAUUGACGAUUCACGAAAGUGGAUUUUCUUCGGACAAUUUGCAAGGUGCUGCAUGGUUGUCGUCAGCUCGUGCCGUGAGGUGUCAGGUUAAGUCCUAUAACGAGCGCAACCCCUGUGGUUAGUUACCAGCAUGUAAUGAUGGGGACUCUAGCCAGGCUGCCGGUGCAAACCGUGAGGAAGGUGGGGAUGACGUCAAAUCAUCACGGCCCUUACGCCUUGGGCUACACACGUGCUACAAUGGUAUAUACAAUGAGCAGCCAUCUGGCGACAGAGCGCUAAUCUAUAAAGUAUAUCACAGUUCGAAUCGGAGUCUGCAACUCGACUCUGUGAAGCUGGAAUCGCUAGUAAUCGCACAUCAGCCAUGGUGCGGUGAAUACGUUCCCGGGCCUUGUACACACCGCCCG